UCAGGCUUUGGAAAGAAGAGUGAAUAAAAUAUGCCAAGAAGAAAAAGAGAAGAGGCCAGAUCUUUAUGCAUUGGCUAUGGGCUACUCGGGGCAGUUGAAAAGUAGAAAGUCACACAUGAUACCUGAAAAUGAAUUUCAUCACAAGGAUCCUCCUCCAAGGAAUGCUGUUGCCAGUGUACAAAAUGGGCCUGGUGGUGGGACUUCUUCAUCAUCCAUAGGAAGUGCGUCUAAAUCAGAUGAAAGCGGUGCUGAGGAGACUGAUAAAUCAAGGGAGAGAUCUCAGUGUGGUACAAAAGCUGUUAAUAAGGCUUCUAGUACCACACCAAAAGGGAAUUCAAGCAAUGGAAAUAGUGGCUCUAACAGCAACAAAGCUGUUAAGGAAAAUGACAAAGAAAAAGUAAAAGAGAAAGAAAAAGAGAAAAAAGAGAAGACUCCAGCUACAACUCCAGAGGCCAGGGUACUUGGUAAAGAAAGUAAAGAAAAACCGAAGGAAGAGCGGCCAAAUAAAGAUGACAAAGCAAGAGAGACAAAGGAAAGAACACCUAAAUCUGACAAAGAGAAGGAGAAGUUCAAGAAGGAAGAAAAAGCAAAAGAUGAGAAAUUCAAGACCACUGUCCCCAGCGUAGAAUCAAAAUCGACUCAAGAAAGGGAAAGAGAGAAGGAGCCAUCCAGAGAAAGAGAUGUAGCAAAGGAAAUGAAGUCAAAGGAAAAUGUUAAAGGAGGAGAAAAACCACCAGUUUCAGGGUCCUUGAAGUCACCUGUUCCCCGAUCAGAUAUCUCGGAGCCUGACAGAGAACAAAAACGCCGCAAAAUUGAUACUCAUCCUUCUCCAUCACAUUCCUCCACUGUAAAGGACAGUCUCAUCGAUCUCAAGGACUCUUCAGCAAAGCUCUACAUUAACCAUAAUCCUCCACCACUGUCCAAGAGUAAGGAGAGAGAAAUGGACAAGAAAGAUUUGGACAAGUCAAGGGAAAGAUCCAGAGAAAGAGAGAAAAAAGAUGAAAAGGACAGGAAAGAGCGGAAAAGGGAUCAUUCAAACAAUGACCGUGAAGUGCCACCGGACAUAACAAAGAGGCGGAAAGAGGAGAAUGGAACAAUGGGGGUUUCAAAACACAAAAGUGAAAGUCCAUGUGAGUCUCAAUAUCCAAAUGAGAAAGACAAAGAGAAAAAUAAGUCAAAAUCUUCAGGCAAAGAAAAAGGCAGUAGUGAUUCGUUUAAAUCUGAGAAGAUGGAUAAAAUCUCCUCUGGUGGCAAAAAGGAAUCCAGGCAUGAUAAAGAAAAGAUAGAAAAGAAAGAAAAACGGGAUAGUUCAGGAGGAAAAGAAGAGAAGAAACAUCAUAAGUCCUCUGACAAGCACAGAUAAUGAACAAUUUCAACCAAGGGUGUGGACAGACCCCUAAGCUGACCGUCUCCCCGUGGAGGAUGCCAAAGCUCCAUGAGUCACUCUCAGAAUGACAUCUCCCAUAAUUAAGAGCUUCUGGUGCUGUCCAUUUUAUGGGAAUUUGCUUUAAGUCAGAAGAUGCAUACACACCACCAUCCUUUUGACAAGACAUUCCAAAGUCACUGAUUUUUCAGAACAUUUUCACCUGCAGGCAAUUUCUUGGAGCAAGGUCCCUGUGCAUACAGUUUUUAUGUGGGAUACGCCAUCCAGAAGCAGCAUCUAAUGGAAAGUUCACUAACUGACUUUUAGUUCAUCUUUCUUUCUCAGAAAGGAAAGGAAAUUGCCUCUUGGAACCAAUUCCUUAAUGAUGUAGAUAGGUUGCCUUUGUGUGUGAAUUCUAUAAGUGUGAAAACAUUGGGGUGAUUAUGUUGCUUGGAGGGUUUUGGCUUCUUAAAAAAUUUUAAUUUUAAUUCCAGUUCAUGGGAAAGAUGUUUGUGGUUUUGAUACAUUAUUCCUUGCACCUGUAGAAUCUACCUGUUACUCUUUAAUCUUUUUCUCUACCCCAGAAUCCUUCCACCCUAUCACACACAGAAAAUGUUUCAAUGUUUCUUAAAAUUCAUAGUGUCUUUAUGAUUUCUAAGAAUAGACACAGACACAGAAUAUAUUUCCUCAUUUUCUGGGAACUUUCUGCAAGUCUUUGUUAUUGAUAGAAUUCACUGAAGUUUCUUCCUAAAUGGGUCUUUUCCUUUCCCCUUUCUUUCCCUUUGAUCACUCCCCGGCCUUCUCUCAAUGGCCUCUUCUUACCUUGCUUUGGCCUUCCUCCUCAUUCUCCCUUAGUCACUCCCUCCUUGUCUAUCUGUAUAACCAGUUUGUUUCUUUUAGGUGGAAAGUAUGAAAUGAAAUCAUACAGCUGUGACCAGAAUUGUAUU
rnacentral:lncRNA from 1 species